rnacentral:lncRNA from 1 species
GGGCCCGGGGGGCCCGGAGCAGUUUCCAGUGGCCAGGGGUACGCGCGGCCGGAGGGGCGCCGGGGCCGUACUCACCGCGGCCGUUCUGGUUGGGCCGGUACACGCUGCCCACGCUGAGGCGGCCCUGCUGCGCGCCGUUCCGCUCCCCACCCGGCGGGGGCGUGUCGGAGCUGCGCACCGGCAGGUAGGGCGGCUCCAGCGCGCGCGGCGGCCCGUACGCCUCGGGCGGCGGGUUGGCGUAGGGCGGGUACCAGCCCAGGCGUGGGUCUCCGCCAUGGGCCUGCGCCGCCUCGGGACCGGGGUCAGGGUGCCACGGCUUACCAAUGGAAGAUUAGGCCAGAUGGCUCCUGAGAGUGCUUUGGGAGAUUCUCUGUUCCUUCUGGGAAUGGCAGGGAUAGGAGGGGGUCCCAGAAGUUUGAACGCUUUGGCAUCCAAGAAAUCACACUCCAAAUACUGCUCUUCUGGCCUCCCCUGGGCUGCCUUCUCCAACCGUGUUCCUGGGAACCGAAGGGCAGAAAUUGCCCUCUUGGGCUUAUAAACAAGGAGCUCCUGCCUGCCUGGAUGAAGAGGAGGUCAAGACUUUGUCCCCCACUCCGCAAGAUACCCUCUCUGUUCCGGAGCGGUGAGACAGGAUUUCACCAUGUUAGCCAGGAUGGUCUUGAUCUCCUGACCUCAUGAUCUGCCCACCUCGGCCUCCCAAAGUGCUGGGCUUACAGGCGUGAGCCACCGUGCCCGGCCAAAAAUAACUUUUAAAAACAUGAGUAUAGCAUACACACACACAAAAGUCCACAAAUCCUAGGUGUACCACUUGAUGAAUGAUCCCAACGUGAGCACACCUCUGGAUUACCACCUGGAUCAAGAAAUAGGACAUCACAGCAGCUGGCAGCUUCCAAGGAGAAGCUCUGGAAAGUUCUGCCUGUCUCAGCACCUGGCUGGAUCGGAAACGAGUUUUCUUUAACCAGAUUUUUAAUGACUGACUUAUGUGGACAAAUCAUAACUGAAUGAAUCACCUCCUUUGUUGAUUUUUUUGGGUACUUUAUUUGCUAUUAUAAAUGAUGCUGUAAUAAGCACCCUUGAAGAAAUCUUCAUAUCUGCCUCUCCUGUGUAGCAGGUCACAGUGCCUGGGUUUGGUUCUAGCCCUCAUUUGUGAACUGUGUGACUCACCAUGCCUUUUUUCUUUCUGUAAGACAGGAAUAAUGGUAAGAAUUUAAAUGGGGGUAAUAUGGAGCGCGUUUAGUUCAGAGCCUGGUGCAUACAAGCACUCAAUAAGUACUGGCGAUUAUUAGACCUUUAGAUUAAUUUAUUAGAAGUUGGAUUUCUGGUGAAAGGGUUUGAGUGUUUUUGAGGCUUUGGCACAGAAUACCCAGCUGGUCCCAGAAAGGUGGUUCCCAUUUACCUGCCCGAAGGUAAUUCACCCUUACUGAUACUGAGUACUGUUUUCUAAAAGAACAUUAAAAAUUGGAUAGGUUAAAAACAGGUGAAUACAUUUUUUUAGUUGCAUUUUUUUGGUUACCCGUGAGAGUGAACAUGUUGCCAUGUGUUUGCUGACCUCCUAAAUGGUCUAUUUGCUCCUACCUUUGUACCCCAAAAGUCUGCUCUCAAGAUGGUAGCCAGAAUGAUCCUUUUUGAGACAUAAGUCAAAAUUUCACUCUUCUCCUUAAAGCUCUGCAAUGGUUCUCAGGUUAAAAGCCAAAGUCCUGUUCAAGGCCUCCAGGGUCCUCACCACUUGGUCCCUUGCUCUUUCUGUUCUAGCCAACUUGGCCUUCUCCUGCCCCUCCGCCGCACCAUGGCAAUUUCCCCUGCUCUGUGUGGUCAACUACCUGAAUCUGUUCAAAGCUUUGCUCAAAUGUCUCCUUCCUGAUGAGACCUCCCCAGCCCCUGAGCUCCCCAUGCCUCACUCCUGAUCGCCUUACUUAACCCUUCUUUUUCUUUUUUGCCAGUAGUACUUAUCACCGUCUAAAAUACUUCAUAAUUUACUUGUUUAUUGUUUGCCCCUCUCCAAUAGAAUGUAAGCUCCUUGGGGCAGGGACCUUUGUCCUUUGUCUUGUUCACUGCUGUGUCCCAUGUGUAAACUUGUCUGGCACAGAAGAGGUGCUCGAUAAAUAUUUGUUGAGUGAAUGAAUGGUAAAUUUUCUGUUCAUAUUCUUUGACUAUUUUCUAUUGUAAUGUUCAUCUUUUUAGUAUUGGUUUAUAAGAUGUAUAUUUAGCACCUUUUCAUAUAUCACUCUUUGUCACAUAUUAUGCAACUAAUUUGUCAUUUCCAUCAAUUUUUAAAAUACUUUCUUGAUGCUUCAUUUUUAAGCUGUCAGAUUAUUAAUCUUUUCUUUAUGGUCUUGGACUUUAUUGUUGCAUAACCGCUGCCUUCACCAGGAACAUAUAAAUUUUCAAUUAAAUGUUCUUCUGAGAUUUUAUGAUUUCACUUUUUAUAUUAAACUCUUCAUUUUGUCUUCAUGUGUGGUGAGAGGUAAGAACAUAACUUUAAAGCAAAUUAACCAACUAUCCCCAAAUGAAUUAUAAAUAAAUUAAUCAUUUUCCAAUGAUCUGAAAGGCCAUUUUAUCAUACACUAAAUAUUUUUGUGUGUUUGACUGGGUUUACCGUUCUGUUCCGUUGGCCUAUCACAUCGUUCUUACAUUGGUAUUUGUUGCCCUAUUUUAAUGAUUGUAACUUUUUAAUAAGGGUUAAUGACUGAGAAUACAAGUCCCAUUGUUUUGUUUUAUUAUUUUUAUUAUUUUUUUGAGACAGGGUUUCACUCUGUCACCCAGGCUGGAGUAUAGUAGCACUAUCUCGGCUCAUUGCAACCUCUGCCUCCCUGGUUCAAGUGAUUCUCCCACCUCAACCUCCCGAGUAGCUGGGACUACAGAUGCAUGCCACCACACCCAGCUAAUUCUUGUAUUUUUAGUAGAGACAGGGUUUCACCAUGUUGACCAGGCUGGUCUUGAACUCCUGGCUUCAAGUGAUUCACCUGCCUCGAC